UACGGAAGGCAGCAGUGGGGAAUAUUGCACAAUGGGCGAAAGCCUGAUGCAGCUAUGCCGCGUGUAUGAAGAAGGCCUUAGGGUUGUAAAGUACUUUCAUCGGGAAGGAAAAACAAAACUAAUAAUUUUAUUUCUUGACGUUACCCGAAAAAGAAGCACCGGCUAACUCCGUGCCAGCAGCCGCGGUAAUACGGAGGGUGCUAGCGUUAAUCAGAAUUACUGGGCGUAAAGAGCACGUAGGUGGUUUUUUUAAGUCAGAUGUGAAAUCCCUGGGCUUAACCUGGAACUGCAUUUUGAAACUGAAAUACUAGAGUAUCGUAGAGGGAGGUAGAAUUCUAGGUGUAGCGGUGAAAUGCGUAGAUAUCUGGAGGAAUACCUGUGGCGAAAGCGGCCUCCUAAACGAAUACUGACACUGAGGUGCGAAAGCGUGGGGAGCAAACAGGGAUUAGAUACC
rnacentral:rRNA from 1 species